AAAGUCUUAGUUAAUUCAUAACAUUAAUUUGUCAAAUUAAAAUUACUAUUAUUAGUAGACUUUU
rnacentral:tRNA from 1 species